CCGGUAAACGGCGGCCGUAACUAUAACGGUCCUAAGGUAGCGAAAUUCCUUGUCGGGUAAGUUCCGACCUGCACGAAUGGCGUAAUGAUGGCCAGGCUGUCUCCACCCGAGACUCAGUGAAAUUGAACUCGCUGUGAAGAUGCAGUGUACCCGCGGCAAGACGGAAAGACCCCGUGAACCUUUACUAUAGCUUGACACUGAACAUUGAGCCUUGAUGUGUAGGAUAGGUGGGAGGCUUUGAAGUGUGGACGCCAGUCUGCAUGGAGCCGACCUUGAAAUACCACCCUUUAAUGUUUGAUGUUCUAACGUUGGCCCGUUAUCCGGGUUGCGGACAGUGUCUGGUGGGUAGUUUGACUGGGGCGGUCUCCUCCUAAAGAGUAACGGAGGAGCACGAAGGUUGGCUAAUCCUGGUCGGACAUCAGGAGGUUAGUGCAAUGGCAUAAGCCAGCUUGACUGCGAGCGUGACGGCGCGAGCAGGUGCGAAAGCAGGUCAUAGUGAUCCGGUGGUUCUGAAUGGAAGGGCCAUCGCUCAACGGAUAAAAGGUACUCCGGGGAUAACAGGCUGAUACCGCCCAAGAGUUCAUAUCGACGGCGGUGUUUGGCACCUCGAUGUCGGCUCAUCACAUCCUGGGGCUGAAGUAGGUCCCAAGGGUAUGGCUGUUCGCCAUUUAAAGUGGUACGCGAGCUGGGUUUAGAACGUCGUGAGACAGUUCGGUCCCUAUCUGCCGUGGGCGCUGGAGAACUGAGGGGGGCUGCUCCUAGUACGAGAGGACCGGAGUGGACGCAUCACUGGUGUUCGGGUUGUCAUGCCAAUGGCACUGCCCGGUAGCUAAAUGCGGAAGAGAUAAGUGCUGAAAGCAUCUAAGCACGAAACUUGCCCCG
rnacentral:rRNA from 1 species